rnacentral:rRNA from 1 species
UGGGGAAUCUUGGACAAUGGGGGCAACCCUGAUCCAGCCAUGCCGCGUGAGUGAUGAAGGCCUUAGGGUCGUAAAGCUCUUUCGCCUGUGAAGAUAAUGACGGUAGCAGGUAAAGAAACCCCGGCUAACUCCGUGCCAGCAGCCGCGGUAAUACGGAGGGGGUUAGCGUUGUUCGGAAUUACUGGGCGUAAAGCGCACGUAGGCGGACCAGAAAGUUGGGGGUGAAAUCCCGGGGGCUCAACCCCGGAACUGCCUCCAAAACUAUUGGUCUAGAGUUCGAGAGAGGUGAGUGGAAUUCCAAGUGUAGAGGUGAAAUUCGUAGAUAUUCGGAGGAACACCAGUGGCGAAGGCGGCUCACUGGCUCGAUACUGACGCUGAGGUGCGAAAGUGUGGGGAGCAAACAGGAUUAGAUACCCUGGUAGUCCACACCGUAAACGAUGAAUGCCAGUCGUCGGGUAGCAUGC